rnacentral:rRNA from 1 species
GACGAACGCUGGCGGCGUGCUUAACACAUGCAAGUCGAACGAUGAAGCCGGAGCUUGCUCUGGUGAAUUAGUGGCGAACGGGUGAGUAACGCGUGAGUAACCUGCCCUUGACUCUGGGAUAACUGCGGGAAACUGUAGCUAAUACCGGAUACGACCCUCGGAGGCAUCUCCUGGGGGUGGAAAGAAUUUCGGUCAAGGAUGGACUCGCGGCCUAUCGGCUAGUUGGUGAGGUAAAGGCUCACCAAGGCGACGACGGGUAGCCGGCCUGAGAGGGGGACCGGCCACAGUGGGACUGAGACACGGCCCAGACGCCUACGGGAGGCAGCAGUGGGGAAUAUUGCACAAUGGGCGCAAGCCUGAUGCAGCAACGCCGCGUGAGGGAUGACGGCCUUCGGGUUGUAAACCUCUUUUAGCAGGGAAGAAGCGAAAGUGACGGUACCUGCAGAAAAAGCACCGGCUAACUACGUGCCAGCCGCCGCGGUAA